rnacentral:rRNA from 1 species
GACGGAGGGUGCAAACGUUGUUCGGAAUCACUGGGCGUAAAGGGCGCGUAGGCGGACUUGUAAGUCGGGAGUGAAAACUCGGGGCUCAACUCCGGAAUUGCCUUUAAAACUGCAUCGCUAGAAUUGUGGAGAGGUAAGUGGAAUUCCGAGUGUAGAGGUGAAAUUCGUAGAUAUUCGGAAGAACACCAGUGGCGAAGGCGACUUACUGGACACAUAUUGACGCUGAGGUGCGAAAGCGUGGGGAGCAAACGGG